rnacentral:tRNA from 1 species
GCAUUGGUGAUUCAGUGGUAGAACUCUUGGCUUCCAUGCAGGAUACCUGGGUUCGAUUCCCAGCCAAUGCA